AUGGCCUGGACCCUUCUCCUCCUCGGCCUCCUCGCUCACUGCACAGGUUCCCUCUCCCAGCCUGUGCUGACUCAGCCGCCCUCGCUCUCUACAUCUCUGGGAGCAUCAGCCAGACUCACCUGCACCCUGAGCAGUGGGUACAGUGUUGCCAGCUAUACUAUAUACUGGUACCGGCAGAAGCCAGGGAACCCUCCCCGGUACCUCCUGAGGUUCAGGUCAGACUCUGAUAAGCACCAGGGCUCCGGGAUCCCCAGCCGCUUCUCUGGAUCCAAAGAUGCCUCGGCCAAUGCAGGGCUCCUGCUCAUCUCUGGGCUGCAGCCCGAGGACGAGGACGACUAUUCCUGUGGUGUAGGUCAUAGCAGUGGGAGCAGCUAUCAUUCCCACAGUGUCUCAGAUGAGGAGGAAGAAAGUCAUUAUUCCUGGUCCCAAGACCUCGUCUCUCCAUUCAUUGGCCUGUCGUGGGGUGAGCAGUAUGAGUUGGACUGGGCACCAGUGCAAACAGAAUCACCGGGUGCCCAGCUACGAACUAUCCCUUGCGUGGUUGGUGGGAUGACAGGGAAGUGGACAUCCAGCACCUGUGACUGGGAGGCCCGCUGGUCCUCCAACUGCUCCCUGCAGGCCUCCUGCCCCUGGUCCAGAGUCUCUGCUCUGUCCCUGAUCCUGAAGGCUUAA